UUGAAACACCACUUCCCAUAUGAUCACAAAGUUAAGCAACAUUGAGCCUGGUCAGUACUUAGAUAGGUGACUGCUUGGGAAUAUCAAGUGCUGUAA